rnacentral:rRNA from 1 species
CCUACGGGUGGCAGCAGUGAGGAAUAUUGGUCAAUGGACGAGAGUCUGAACCAGCCAAGUAGCGUGAAGGAUGACUGCCCUAUGGGUUGUAAACUUCUUUUAUAUGGGAAUAAAAUGUUCCACGUGUGGGAUUUUGUAUGUACCAUAUGAAUAAGGCUCGGCUAACUCCGUGCCAGCAGCCGCGGUAAUACGGAGGAUCCGAGCGUUAUCCGGAUUUAUUGGGUUUAAAGGGAGCGUAGGUGGAUUGUUAAGUCAGUUGUGAAAGUUUGCGGCUCAACCGUAGAAUUGCAGUUGAAACUGGCAGUCUUGAGUGCAGUAGAGGUGGGCGGAAUUCGUGGUGUAGCGGUGAAAUGCUUAGAUAUCACGAAGAACUCCGAUUGCGAAGGCAGUUCACUGGACUGCAACUGACACUGAGGCUCGAAAGUGUGGGUAUCAAACAGGAUUAGAUACCCCGGUAGUC